AGUUUAACUGGGGCGGUUGCCUCCCAAAAUGUAACGGAGGCGCCCAAAGGUUCCCUCAGCCUGGUUGGCAAUCAGGUGUUGAGUGUAAGUGCACAAGGGAGCUUGACUGCGAGAGUGACAGCUCGAGCAGGGACGAAAGUCGGGACUAGUGAUCCGGCGGCACGUUGUGGAACGGCCGUCGCUCAACGGAUAAAAGGUACCUCGGGGAUAACAGGCUGAUCUUGCCCAAGAGUCCAUAUCGACGGCAUGGUUUGGCACCUCGAUGUCGGCUCGUCGCAUCCUGGGGCUGGAGUAGGUCCCAAGGGUUGGGCUGUUCGCCCAUUAAAGCGGCACGCGAGCUGGGUUUAGAACGUCGUGAGACAGUUCGGUCCCUAUCUGGUGUGGGCGUUGGAUGAUUGAUGGGAGCUGCUCCUAGUACGAGAGGACCGGAGUGGACGCAUCGCUGGUGUUCGGGUUGUCAUGCCAAUGGCAUUGCCCGGUAGCUACGUUCGGAACGGAUAACCGCUGAAAGCAUCUAAGCGGGAA
rnacentral:rRNA from 1 species